ACAAACUUGGUCAUUUAGAGGAAGUAAAAGUCGUAACAAGGUUUCCGUAGGUGAACCUGCGGAAGGAUCAUUAACCGUUACAAACAGUGUGUGAUGCGGCCGCCGAGGUGAAUAGCCUCUGGUUGGUAUGGGGUUCGCCCCUUCACGCUCACGCGUCUGCCAUCCUUACUUUACGAGCACCUUCUGUUCUCCCUCGGCAAGGGCCUCGCCCUGCCGUUGGAACUACAAAACUCUUUUUUGCAUCUAGCAUUACCUGUUCCGACAAAAACAAUCGUUUACAACUUUCAACAAUGGAUCUCUUGGCUCUGGCAUCGAUGAAGAACGCAGC
rnacentral:misc_RNA from 1 species